GGCUGUCGUCAGCUCGUGUCGUGAGAUGUUGGGUUAAGUCCCGCAACGAGCGCAACCCUUAUCAUUAGUUUGCUACGCAAGGGCACUCUAAUGAGACUGCCGGUGACAAACCGGAGGAAGGUGGGGAUGACGUCAAGUCCUCAUGGCCCUUAUGGGUGGGGCUACACACGUCAUACAAUGGAUGGUACAAAGGGUCGCCAACCCGCGAGGGGGAGCCAAUCCCAUAAAGCCAUUCGUAGUCCGGAUCGCAGUCUGCAACUCGACUGCGUGAAGUCGGAAUCGCUAGUAAUCGUGGAUCAGAAUGUCACGGUGAAUACGUUCCCGGGUCUU
rnacentral:rRNA from 1 species